UACGGGGGGGGCAAGCGUUGUUCGGAAUUACUGGGCUUAAAGGGCGCGUAGGCGGCUUGCCAAGUCAGGGGUGAAAUUUUGCGGCUUAACCGUAACAGUGCCUUUGAUACUGGCAGGCUAGAGGGAAAUAGGGGUUCGCGGAACUUCUGGUGGAGCGGUGAAAUGCGCAGAUAUCAGGAGGAACACCGGUGGCGAAGGCGGGUCUCUGGGCCGAAAUUGACGCUGAGGAGCGAAAGCGUGGGGAGCAAACAGG
rnacentral:rRNA from 1 species